rnacentral:tRNA from 1 species
GAGCCAUUAGCUCAGACGGUAGAGCACCGGACUUUUAAUCCGGGUGUCCUGGGUUCGAGUCCCAGAUGGCUCACCA